CUGUGGUAAUUCUAGAGCUAAUACAUGCACCAAAGCUCCGAUCCUCGCGGAGAGGAGCGCAUUUGUUCGCCACAAAACCAAGCGCCUUCACAGGCGUUCAGUGUUGACUCAGAAUAACUAAGCUGAUCGCACGGUCUUGCACCGGCGACGUGUCUUUCGGGUGUCUGCCUUAUCAACUUUCGAUGGUAGUAUACAGGACUACCAUGGUUGUGACGGGUAACGGAGGAUAAGGGUUCGACUCCGGAGAAGGGGCCUGAGAAAUGGCCACUACGUCUAAGGAUGGCAGCAGGCGCGCAAAUUACCCACUCUCAACAUGAGGAGGUAGUGACGAGAAAUAACGAGACCGUUCUCUUCAGAGGCCGGUCAUCGGAAUGGGUACAACUUAAACCCUUUAACGAGUAUCUAUGAGAGGGCAAGUCUGGUGCCAGCAGCCGCGGUAAUUCCAGCUCUCAAAAUGCAUAGAAUUAUUGCUGCGGUUAAAAAGCUCGUAGUUGGAUCUGUGCUGGCCGCCCGGUCUGUCCACUGGGCAUGCACUGGUGCGGUCGGCUUUCCUGCCUGGUUCCUCCCCGGCGUUGGCCUUCACCGGUCGGCGUCGGUGGCCGGGCGAGUUUACUUUGAACAAAUCAGAGUGCUUCAAACAGGCGUCUCGCUUGAAUGUUCGUGCAUGGAAUAAUAGAAGAGGAUUUCGGUCCGAUUUUAUUGGUUUUGCUGACCGAGAUAAUGGUUAACAGAGACAACGGGGCCAUUCGUAUUGCUGCGUGAGAGUGAAAAUUCUUGGACCGUAGCCACACGGAUUUAGCCAAAGCCAUUUGGCAAGAAGGUGUUCAUUUUUCAAGUACGAAAAGUCAGAGGUUAGAAGGCGAUCAGAUACCGCCCUAGUUCUGACCGUAAACGAUGCCAACUAGCGAUCCGGCGGCGGAUUCAUUCGCCCUGCUGGGGAGCUUCCCGGAAACGAAAGUCUUCCGGUUCCGGGGGAAGUAUGGUUGCAAAGCUGAAACUUAAAGGAAUUGACGGAAGGGCACCACCAGGAGUGGAGCCUGCGGCUUAAUUUGACUCAACACGGGAAAACUCACCCGGCCCGGACACCGUAAGGAUUGACAGAUUGAUAGCUUUUUCAUGAUUCGGUGGAUGGUGGUGCAUGGCCGUUCUUAGUUCGUGGAGCGAUUUGUCUGGUUUAUUCCGAUAACGAGCGAGACUCUGGCCUACUAAAUAGUUGGCGCAUUGCUACUGUGCGUACAACUUCUUAGAGGGAUUUUCGGUGUUCAGCCGCACGAAAUUGAGCAAUAACAGGUCUGUGAUGCCCUUAGAUGUCCGGGGCUGCACGCGCGCUACACUGGCAAAAUCAGCGUGCUUGUCCUUCCCCGAAAGGGGUUGGUAAACCCGUGAAAAUUUGCCGUGAUUGGGAUCGGACAUUGCAAUUAUUGUCCGUGAACGAGGAAUUCCUUGUAGGGGCGAGUCAUCAACUCGCUCUGAAUACGUCCCUGCCCUUUGUACACACCGCCCGUCGCUGCCCGGGACUGAGCCACUUCGAGAAACUCGGGGAUCGUUGGCUGUCGCAUUCGUGCGCGGUCAUGUGACAACCACCAG
rnacentral:rRNA from 1 species